rnacentral:lncRNA from 1 species
GUUGCCAUGGAAGAAUCAUCUUAUGGAGCAGGUCCCGGCUAUGAUGCAGGUUAUGAUGCUGGCUAUGAUUCUAUGGGCUAUGAACUCUCAAGUUACAACAACUCAUACAAUGGAGGAAGUUCUGAUUAUUACGAUUCAGUCAGCUAUCCUGGUCAGGAUUACAGCACUGAAGUAGUGGCACCACACGCACCCAGCUCUGGACGUUGGAAAGGUUACUCUCCCACCGGUGGCAGUGGUAAAGGGCCUUCUAGUCUACCUAUCUCUGCUUCCCGCUAUAGCGCUCAAGGCAUCCGCCAUUCACCAUAUGGCCGUCCUAAAUCCUAUGAUUGA